CGGGGGGAGCAAGCGUUGUUCGGAUUUACUGGGCUUAAAGAGUUCGUAGGCGGCGCAGAAAGUAGGGUGUGAAAGCCCUCGGCUCAACCGAGGAAUUGCGCUCUAAACUACUGUGCUCGAGGGACCUAGAGGUGAGCAGAACUGAUGGUGGAGCGGUGAAAUGCGUUGAUAUCAUCAGGAAUACCGGAGGCGAAGGCGGCUCACUGGGGGUCUUCUGACGCUGAGGAACGAAAGCCAGGGGAGCGAACGGGAUUAGAUACCCCGGUAGUCCUGGCCGUAAACGAUGAGCACUAGGCCGGAGGGCUGCACAGCCUUUCGGCCGUAGCUAAAGUGUUAAGUGCUCCGCCUGGGGAGUAUGGUCGCAAGGCUG
rnacentral:rRNA from 1 species